rfam:Macrostomum lignano uti_cns_0006805, whole genome shotgun sequence.
GUGCAGUGAGAAAGGAGAGAAGAUUGGCAUCUCCCCUGCGCAAGGACGGAACUUAUUAUCGGGUCUUGACCCGAAAAAGGCAAAUUAACACGUUUUUUU